GAUGAACGCUAGCGGCAGGCUUAAUACAUGCAAGCCGAGGGGCAGCAGUUUUGUAGCAAUACAGAAGCUGGCGACCGGCAAACGGGUGCGGAACACGUACGCAACCUUCCUUUAACUGGGAGAUAGCCCACCGAAAGGUGGAUUAAUAUCCCAUAAUAUAACUGAAUGGCAUCAUUUAGAUAUUAAAGCUCCGGCGGUUAAAGAUGGGCGUGCGUCUGAUUAGGUAGUUGGCGGGGUAACGGCCCACCAAGCCUUCGAUCAGUAGCUGAUGUGGAGGCACGAUCAGCAACACGGGCACGGCAACACGGGCCCGAGUCCUACGGGAGGCAGCAGUAAGGAAUAUGGGUCGAUGGACGUAAGUCUGAACCAGCCAUGCCGCGUGGAGGAUGAAGGCCCUCUGGGUUGUAAACUUCUUUUCUUUGGGACGAAACCCCUGUUUCUACGGGGACUGACGGUACCAGAGGAAUAAGCACCGGCUAACUCCGUGCCAGCCGCCGCCGUAA
rnacentral:rRNA from 1 species